rnacentral:rRNA from 1 species
GAUGAACGCUGGCGGCGUGCCUAAUACAUGCAAGUCGAGCGAACGGACGAGAAGCUUGCUUCUCUGAUGUUAGCGGCGGACGGGUGAGUACACGUGGAUAACCUACCUAUAAGACUGGGAUAACUUCGGGAAACCGUAGCUAAUACCGGAUAAUAUUUUGAACCGCAUGGUUCAAAAGUGAAAGACGGUCUUGCUGUCACUUAUAGAUGGAUCCGCGCUGCAUUAGCUAGUUGGUAAGGUAACGGCUUACCAAGGCAACGAUGCAUAGCCGACCUGAGAGGGUGAUCGGCCACACUGGAACUGAGACACGGUCCAGACUCCUACGGGAGGCAGCAGUAGGGAAUCUUCCGCAAUGGGCGAAAGCCUGACGGAGCAACGCCGCGUGAGUGAUGAAGGUCUUCGGAUCGUAAAACUCUGUUAUUAGGGAAGAACAUAUGUGUAAGUAACUGUGCACAUCUUGACGGUACCUAAUCAGAAAGCCACGGCUAACUACGU